rnacentral:rRNA from 1 species
AGACGGAGGGGGCAAGCGUUGUUCGGAAUGACUGGGCGUAAAGCGCGCGUAGGCGGCGCAUCAAGUGGAGCGUGAAAGCCCUCGGCUUAACCGAGGAAGCGCGAUGCAGACUGAUGGGCUCGAGUGUCGGAGGGGGAGGCGGAAUUCCUGGUGGAGCGGUGAAAUGCGUAGAGAUCAGGAAGAACGUCGGUGGCGAAGGCGGCCUCCUGGACGAACACUGACGCUGAGGAGCGAGAGCGUGGGGAGCGAACGGGAUUAGAUACCCCGGUAGUCCACGCCGUAAACGAUGGGCACUAGGUGUGGGCUCGGAGACCGAGUCCGUGCCGGAGCUAACGCAGUAAGUGCCCCGCCUGGGGAGUACGGUCGCAAGGCUGAA